GAUCAUGGCUCAGGACGAACGCUGGCGGCGUGCUUAACACAUGCAAGUCGAACGAGAAUCUACUGAAGGAGGAUUCGUCCAACGGAAGUAGAGGAAAGUGGCGGACGGGUGAGUAACGCGUGAGGAACCUGCCUUGAAGAGGGGGACAACAGUUGGAAACGACUGCUAAUACCGCAUGACGCAUAGGGGUCGCAUGAUUCUUAUGCCAAAGAUUUAUCGCUUCAAGAUGGCCUCGCGU
rnacentral:rRNA from 1 species